rnacentral:tRNA from 1 species
GGGAGUAGAUAGGUUCUGGUGUGCCUUCCGGACUUCAAAUCCGUCAGCGGUCUCUAGAACAGGCCGCGGUGGGUUCGAUUCCCACAUACUCCCGCCA